UCCGGUUAGUUCAAGUAUUGGAAAUUGGUUCUAGAGGGUCUCGGGUGACCUCACAUCGCCCCAGGCUGGGGAGGCAGAGCCAGGGCGAGGCCCGUAAGCGCUCUGCGCUCCUGGAAAGUAUCGAAAGCCCAGCUAGGGCGCAGAAACGAUGGGGACCGAGGGCAGGUUGUCGGUCACGUGACUCGAUCCAGACCGAGAGGUGUGUCUCACUGCUACACACACGCGCACACGCACACGCACAUACAUCACCGCCUCCAGGUUUUACUCAGACUGCUCCAGUGACUUGCCCAUAUCAGACCUUCAAAGUUCAUCCAAGUUUAUCUUUACCUCCCGUUUGCCUUGUGAACUGGGAAGAGAAGGUGUUUUCCACAACCUGGAGACUCCCCAACCUGGCGACAGUCAGUAAAUGCUGGUAACUGAUGGACUCACCACCUAGUCCGCAGGAGGGACCUGAGGGUAGAGGCUGAGGAAGCGGGCAGAGCUGAGUUCUGCCGUCCCCCACAAAGCCCCACUGAGGUCUCCCCCCAUCGUAUCUUCCCUGGGUACACACCCCCUCUCCCACUGCCGCUGGGCUGAGCAGAACCUCUCCGACCACAGUGAAGGUGUUUUUAUGCAUCCAAUAAAUCUAUCCUAGGAGCAAUCAGGUCUCCUUUUCCCUGUUGCCUAGGAGACCUAACUUCGUGAGGCUGCUCUUCAGUUGUGCCAGGCACUCUGGUCACUAAAGAGAAGGAAGCUAUUUCCUGUCCGCAAUAUUUGUUUGUUAAAGAGACCUGGAACUAGAGAGUAAAAAUAACAACGGCCCAAAAUCACUAAUCAUUACAGAAAUUCCGAGUAAAACACAAUGAACUGCCACUUUUUAAUCCAUUGCAUUGAUACAGAUUUUUAAAAAUCUAUUAAGAGAAAUUAUCCAAAAUCUGAAAAUAAGACCAAAAGGAUGGCGCUCCUUUCAACCUCGUAUUGAAGCGUUGUUUAAAAGCCCAAGGAUUACUUACUUUUCUAGGAGAAGUUUCUGUUGUUUGAUGUUGCUGUUUACUAUUAAUGAAAAGCUGAGUCUCUAUAAGGUUAUGUACCAACUUGUAGAUUUGUGCCUGGUAGAGAUGCAAAUAAUCUUUGCCCCAAAGAAAAGAUAACUUCAAAGGUUAUAAUUAUUUCCCUGUAGGACAUCAACCAUGUUUAUAUCUAGCCUAGCAAUCUUAUUUUAAUGUAGGUUAAGGACUCUGUAAAGCCAUUUCCCCAAAUGGUCUUUGAAUCAGCUUUUUCAUCUUACAAAUGUCCUCAUUAGUUAAUGAGGUGAGUAAACUUUUGGCCCACGUGCAUGCCAUAUUUGUAGAAAGAUUUGAGAGUCGUAUUUAACUUUGGAAAAUUAUACUUGGGGAAGUCUGACAAGAACAGGAAUUUUUGCCGGCUUAUGGAGAGACACAUACCCUCGUGCACUGAUUCGGGGCGUCCGGGUUGGAAAAAGCUCUUCGGAAGGCAAUUUGGCCGUUGUUGGUGAAACUGAAAGUGCACAGCAAUUCCUCUUGUGACCCAACAAUUCCUCUUCUAGGAGUAAGUCCCGAGAAACAUUUCCACACAGGCACUUAGAGAAAUGCGCAGUGUUUGCCACGGUGAGAAAGUGGAAAGGACUUCAGUGGUCAUCAAAAGUGGAAUGGAAUAUAGACUGGAUGAACAACAAGGUCCUAGUGUGUAGCACGGGGAACUAUAUUCAAUAUCCUGGGAUAAACCGUAAUGGAAAAGAAUAGAAAAAAGAAUGUAUAUGUGUGUGUAUAACUGAGUCACUUUGCUGUACUGCAGAAAUUAACAUUGUAACUCAACUAUACUUCAAUUAAAAAAUACUUUAAAAAAGUGGAAUGAAUAAAUUAGUGGCACAUACAUGUGAUAGAAUACUCUACAGCCACAGAAGAUGAAUCAGUCCUAAAAGUGUGGAUAGAUCUCAAAAACAAAAUGUCAGUGGGAAAAAACUGUCAAUGAAAAUGACUAUGGGUACAGCACAGUUAUAUGGACGUAUAUGACAAAACAAUACUAAAGGGAAAGAUACCUGCCACAUCCUUCAAGGUGCCUAUGGGGUAGUGAACAAAGUCAAGAUGGGAAGGUGUCAGCAGGGACUUUUGCUGUAUCUGUAGUGUUCUUGUGUACAUUUCUGAAUUAAGAUGCACGUAUUACUUGUGUAACGUUUUAAAGGGGUAUCUCGGCACUGCGGGAGUUUGGAAGUAAAGAGCCAGAGUGUGCCCAGUGCUUGACUCUGGGAAGUGGGAUUAGGUCCUAGUGAGCUUUUCUUCUCAGGCUUUUUCUGUUACUUAAAUAUUAGAUGAUGACGAUGAUGAGAGAAUCUCUGACGUAAGUACUAGAACUUCUAGUCCAGCCCAGCCACCAAGUCCAGUGUAUCAUCUCACACGGCGCACCUGAACUCUCUUUGCCUGGAUUUGCCUCUCCAUGUAUCAGGAAUUGAACACAAAAAAUAUAAGAAGUCCAUGUCUGCUGUGAGGACAAAUAAAAUGAUAGAGGGCAGGCAGGGUGCUGGUACACCUCUGAGAACCUGUGUUGCGUAAACGUCAGGAACAGACACAGAAAAGACGAGUGGUUUCAGGUUGUAAAUCGGGCUGACUGGGUAGCCUGGUGCCUGAGGCUACAUAAUACAAUGUGAAACCGGGGAACAAAGCUCUCUGGGUCACCUGCCUGUCUGCCAAGGUGGGUAGAAUUACAAAGGUGUGUCCGAGGAGGAGCCCUGGUUGUAGGCAAGCGCUUGGGAAACCAGAUACUUUAAUCUGAUUCUUGAGAGUAACAAAUGGGAAUAAAAGAAAGACUUCAUGAAAUUCAAGGCCUUUACUUGGAAGGGAUGAUCAUUUUUCUGUUUACUUUUCUCCUGUGGCUGUUUUGUUUGGGCUUAGGUUGUUUUGUAAGUUCUGUCCUUGCUCCCUAACACUCACAGUUAAGAAAAGAAAGAGCAAAGGUUGGUGGUCACUCCAGGUCACCCUCCGUGUCCCCCUCGUUCUGCAUCAGAAAACAUGGUAGGGAGCUGGGGGCUCAAGCCAGGAGGUUAGACGGGGCUGGGGAGGCGUUCCUGGCCGCAGCGGGGCCUUAACCACACCUGUUCCACAACUCGUAACCACCCCACCCCCAUGCCACCGCCACCAUAUGCAAAGUUGGAGCUAGAGUGUCUUUUCCAUCACUGCCUGUGCUUGUGAUGAGUUGGGUAAACUAGUUACAGGGGCACCGUGAUUUUUAAAAAAGUUUUAUUGGAAUAUAGUUGACUUACAGUGUUGUGUUAGUUUCUGCCGUACAGCAAAGUCACUCAGUUAUACAUAUACACACAUCCACUCUUGUUUAGGUUCUUUUCCCAUAUAGGUCAUUACACAGUGUUGGGUAGAGUUUCCUGUGCUCUUCAAUAGGUCCUUAUUAGUUAUCUGUUUUAUAUAUAGCAGUGUGUAUAUGUCAAUCCCAGUCUCCCAGUUUAUCUCCCCCGGCACCGUAACCAUGAGUUUGUCUUCUACAUCUGUGACUCUGUUUCUCUUUUGCAAAUAAGUUCAUUUGUACCAUUUUUUAAGAUUCCACAUAUAAGCAGUAUCAUACAUUUGUCUUUCUCUGUCUGACUUACACCACUCAGUAGGACAAUCUCUAAGUCCAUCCAUGUCGCUACAAAAGGCAUUAGUUCGUUCCUUUUAAUGGCUGAGGAAUAAUUCACUUUGAGUUCCUCCCACGGGAGGCGGGGCAGUGAAGGCCCUGCAAACAUAGCUCUCCUUCCUCCCUCAUCAAAUGAAAAGCAGUGGUGAGGCCUCAGCGCUGUGAAUGCUUUCGGCACAGUGGCUGGUCUGACGCUCAUGUCAGCCCUCAGGGGUAGGGAGGAGAGCUGCCCCUGCAGGUGAGGAAACUGGGACUCCCAAAGGGGCUGAAGUGCUCCUGGACCCACGGCUGGCCGCAGACCGAGGCCUCCCAGCUGACCCCACAGGCUCCUCCGGCUGUGGUCCAGCCGCUCUGGCUUCCUCCGCUGGCUCCAGAGAAUCUCCUAUGCGGACGGUGGGUGUCAGGCUCGCGGGCCUAGUGGGCCUUACCUGCCCCCAUGCCCCCCUGGACUGAGGAGUCCCACAUCCUUUAGAACAGUGAUUCUCAAGCCCUAAUAGGCCUGCGAAUCCCCUGGGAGCUUGUGAAAAAGCAGAUCCUGAUUCAGUGGGUGGGGCCUGAGAGUCUGCAUUUCUGACAAGUUCCCAGGAGGCCCCGGAGCUCAUUUUCUGCAGAGGCCGCUCUGAGUAGCAAGGUUGAUUCUAGCUUCAACCAGACAAAGCAAGUCUGGUGUCGGGCAACCCGUUGUACCGUCUCACGGUGUCCUCACCGUUCAUGAUUGUAACUAAGCGUUAAUUAUGUUUUCCUGGCUGGAAUGUCAUCCCCACGAGGACAGGGACAAUGACCGUCUCCUUCAUACUGGUACAUACUGGUACAUACUGGUACAUACUGGUACACCCAGUGCCUAACACAGUGCCUGGCACGUGAUAGAUGCUCACUAAAUAUCUGCUGAAUGAAUAAAGUGAGUGAGGGAAACGAAUGACUGGGCCACCAAAACGACGCCGUCCCCCGAUUCCCAGCAAUGAGACAUUUGGGGGGGUUCAUAGUCUUAUCAUCAAAUCCGUAUUUUCCUGGAGACCCAAAUUCCAUGCAUCAAGCCAUCUAAAAGGGGUUCAUGGUGAUCAUCUCUUCGGAAUGGGAUCACAGACUUCUUAUUUUCCUUUGUGCACUUUCCAUGUUUUCCAAAUUUAAUGCAAUAGGCGAGCAUUACUGCAGUAAUUCAAAGGAAAUUUAAAGUUCAUCUAAGCAGAUUCUCUCUUGGUCACUUCUGCUUUAUCACCACAGACGCUGAGCUGGCUGUACUGUAAUCAGUCACUGUGUUCAGUGUCUCCGUUUCCAGACUAUAAAGUAAGGUUGGGCUGGAGAUGACCACUGCGCCUCACUGGGAGGUGAAUUCUCUCUGAAUUUGUCUUUUCGUCCAUGUAUUCCUUCUCAUCCCUGUUACUUGCAAGGAAUCCUAAUCUCAUAUCCACUGACCUCACCUCUGUGGGUUCUUGCCACCCGGAAUACCGUUCCACGAUACCCCUUUUCUGAGGACGGAAUUUGUUGCUUAAGUCCUGAGUAACAGACUUCCCCGCUGCAGCUGAGGUGUUUACAUAAACUUAAGUCACCAUUUUUUAACGUGAUGCUGAGAAAACUCAAUGAAAACCCAAGACUGUUUAAGACUAUCUGUCUUAGUCACAGCAUGAAAUAAUCCUGUUGGGAAGGGCUGCUGGAGUUUUACACUUCUCAGUGUAAAAUUUUUUUUACAUUUACAUACUGUAAAACAUUACGUUACAGUAAAUAAUGAUCAAUUAACUGUAGUGAAUGUUGGUUGUAAAGUUAUUCGUGCUCCUGGGGGUAGAGAUGUUGUCCUGGAUAUAUCUGCAUUGGUUGCAUCACACAACCCAGACUCUAGACUGGUACCCUGGGCACAUUUCAUUCUAUGAGUGAAUGAAAAGGAGACGGAGGUACUUCCAGCUUGUUCAAGAAAUCAAGGGGGGAGGUUUGGGUCGAUGUUCACAUCCUUUGACAUCCGAUCAUAUCUAUAUGCCCCAGCCUCCCGUCAGUUUUGUGCAGCUUCCGUAUCCACUCACACCAUCGGCCACUUAGCACGAGGUGAGAGAGAAUCCCUAGGUAAGAAGACCAGGGCUGAAUCCCACUGCCCCUCACUUUAUGCAGAUGUUUCUGAAAAGAUGUGGACUAAGUGCGUGUCUAUAAAUUUCAUUGAAAGGAGCAGAAAUUUGUAAAGGGAGGAUGUAUGUGGCCACUCAGUCUCACCCACAUCGAGGGGCUUGAUUUGUCCCCAACGGCGUUACUGAGUAGCAAGGACCUACUUUGGGGGGAAAUUAUAUGAUUUGGGCCAUUUAAGAAAGGAAAUAUGGGGCAGUUCUGGGGCUCAGCAGGUGUUUGGAGAGGCGGGCAUCCUGUCCACAGCAGAGGGCAGGCAGGGGUCCAUGAGGCUCCUGAGCCGGUGAGGACAGAACGAGCAGCUCCUGACCACCGGCAAUCGCAUGGGCGUGGCUUCCACGGGGCGGGGUGUGCCGGCAGCCAUUUGUCCUCCGGAUUCCGGAUUCCCACUUCACUUCGCACCCACCUUCCGGAGCAUCCCUGCUGCCACGCUCCCGGCCACACCCCCAGGUGACAGCCUCUUCCUUUCCCCUCUUUCCAAGGCAUAAACUCUUUCUCCUGCCCCACUGUGUCCUUCCUUUUGGAAUCUCAAGAGCAUCCUUCUGGGGCGGGAGACCCUUGUUUCUCUUCGCCUUUUUGACACGACAAUUCGAGUUCUUCCUGAGUGUGAGUCUAAGGAAAUGAGAGGAGAUGUCCAUCAAGAUCAUGUUUGAAGUUAUCAUACACAGGAGUCACGGGGUCACAGGUGACCCUCCUUUCUUUUUCUUUUUUUCUUCCUUUGCGGUACGCGGGCCCCUCACUUCUGUGGCCUCUCCCGUUGCGGAGCACAGGCUCCGGACGCGCAGGCUCAGCGGCCACGGCUCACGGGCCCAGCCGCUCCGCGGCAUGUGGGAUCUUCCCGGACCGGGGCACGAACCCGUGUCCCCUGCAUCGGCAGGCGGACUCUCAACCACUGCGCCACCAGGGAAACCCAACCCUCCUUUCUAAGGCUGAUACCCACAUCCUGAUUUCCUCUUUGGCUUUUGUGGACAUUUGUAUUUUCAUUCCCAGAUGGGCGCAGUGCAGGCAAGGCCAUGUUCAUAGAGCCUCUGAGUUUAGUCUCUUCUCUCUGACUCUCUGAUCCGCCUGGAUGUUGACUUCCACGUGGCAGCCCGAGUGACUUCACUCGGUUGUCUGCACAUCCCAAGUAUUUCAGCUAAUUGUCAACUUUCUGCUGUCCGUUAUCUCGGGACUGUGAGUACCUCACUGAUGGGGCUUAAACAGGCACAAAGCACUCAGUGAACUGAAACCAGAAUAAAGGCUCAGGGCAACGGCACAGAUGCCCAUGCCGUGGUUCAAGGAGUUGACUUUUACAGAAGUAAGUACAUUUGUAUUCGUUGUUAUGGUGAAUUGUUCUGACCCUCACCCAGACAGGAAAAUAAUGGAAGUUUCUUUUCCCAAGUGCUCCUGAACGCAAACAUUCCAGAUGACCUGGCCUCAGCUGGCCCAGAGCAGAAGUCGUAAGAUUGAAGAAAUAAGUAAAUAAAUUUUUAAAGAGAUGGAGGGACCACUGCUUUCCGAAAACAUCCGAUUCGGGCCAGUGAUUGAAGAUGAGCUCAGGACGUGUGGAACGUUUGCUUCCUCCUUAGUUAAAAUUGUUUAAGUUGCUUCUAUUGACCCUCUAAGCGAGAAGAGAGUGUGUGUGUGGAACGUUCAUGCUUGAGGGACUUUCUCUCCUCCAUCGCCUCCCCAGAUAUAUAUAUAUAUAUAUAUAUAUAUAUAUAUAUAUAUACACACAUAUAUUCUAGAAAACCAGUGCUAGUCUGAUGUCCAACUCUGGGCAGAGCGCAGUUUAGAAGGUAAGCAAUUGCAGACGCUCUGUCAAGCUUUGCUCUUUGUUAAUAAUCUAUUUACAGGUCAGCACACCGGCACCUCCCUUGAGUCUGAUUAUACUCCUAACCCUCCAAGUUCAAUGUCAGCAGAUCCCGGUCUGACAUGUGCCGUUUGUUUGCAUCUUCAGUGCCGGGCGGGGGUCUUUCCCAGGUGCCUCCCCAGAGCCAGCCGUCCACGUUCUGCACAGCCAGGCAUCCUCUCAGGGGACAGCUCCGGAGCAGCCGCAUCUUUUCUUUAAGGAGCACAGAGACCUCGAGGUUGCUUUCUUUCUGCUUUGCAUCACUUCCCUGACCAAUACAGACACACUGUAUUUGCAUAACAUAGUUUUGGUCCGCAUGGGACCCCACCUCCAGCUUCCUGAAUAUGCAUUUUAUUCUGUGCGAUGUCUGAACGUUGCACCUCUAAUCUCAUCACCAGCCUGUGUACUUCCACUGAGUUAUUCUCCAGGCUUUAGAACCGCACCUCCAAUUUGUAAGCUGAGCUAACGAUUACAUUUUCAUCUCUGAAAGAUGUUAAAUGAAAGCAUGCUUUGUGGGGAGAAUAAAUGAAAGAUCUCAGCAUGAGUGGCCCCCAACCCCCAGCCCAACUUCUCUGCUUGCUCAGUGGAGGCUGGAGCAUAAACUCCCCUUUCUCUCGAACAUUCAUCUUCACCCAGAGAACCUUGCAGGAACUACGCUCUUAAUACAGCACUGUUUAGCCCCCUUCACUGAGACGCUUUCAUUUGAUCAGCCCAGAGAAUAACCAUUUCGCAGCCUUGGAGACAGAGUUCAGUGAUUGAAGCGUCAGCCGACGGAAACGGCGUGGGACCCCAGAUAGCUGGGAUCGAUGAAGAAACUGUCCAUCCCUAAAAGAAUAGGACAACAGACAGGUUGCAGUUGCAAAAACUACAAUCAGAAUUUAGCUGAGACAAUGGUCUGGAUAUCCUGAACUGACAUCCUGUAAGAAUUUCAAUGUAUUGAACGUAACUGGUAAAAUUUUGGAAGCUUAUGUGAGGAAUGAUUGUUAUUUUCUUCAUAAACUUGGAUUUAAAUGUCCGUAUUCUAAAGCUUUGUUGAUUUAACCAAUGGCCCAUUGCGGGCAUGAAUUACACAGUGUAAAACUAAGAUGAAAAAUCACGUAAAUGCUGUCAGGAGAGGCAGCGCGGCCUGCUGUUCUCAGCGAACCGGGUGACAAAGUCCCAUCCCUCCUCCACGGCCGCCACGGGGCCUCCCUCCUGAGUUCUCAGAGCUGCAAGCUGUCCAGUAGUAAAGGGGAAAUCUCUGAAUAGCUAUUUUGUUCAUUUAUGAUUUUAAAACGAAAGUAGCAGCAGGUGCUGUCAGCACCUUCAUGACUUGACCCUCUGGAACAGGUUCAGAGACGCUCCUGGGGACCCGGGAAGGGGUCGGGAGGCUCUGCGGCUCCUGGUACCUCAGCGAGGUUCUCAGUCCCAACCGCCCAUCUAAGUCAUCGGGGCAACUUUUAAAAGAUGGGUGCCCAGGCCCAGAGCAGCCCAUUAACCAGACUCUUUGGUGGAAGCUUCCAGUGUCAGGACCAAUCUCCGCAGGUGACUCCAACGUGUGGCUGUGAGCCAGCAGCCCAAGGGGAUGAAUCGGACACUGUGACAGGCUUAGCGGUGGAAGGAGUUUGGGGGCAAUUAGGCCUAAGGCCUGAAACCCCAUCAGGAUCCUGGCCUUCUCCCCGAUGCUCCGUGUCUUCAAGGAGUCCACAGCGGCGUGAGGAAAGCACACACACCCAAAAAAGCAUUCUGCCUGAAGGAUUUUGAAACUUGCCUGCAAGUCACUGUUAAAGAUGACACCUUUGCACACGCAGGUUUUGGAGGUCACGCCCACAUCACUGAGCACGCUGUCACCACCACCCCCGCCAGUACAGGGUGCUCCCCAGGUCCCGCUUGAGGACAGUGUCUUGUAGGAGAUGCCAGCUCCACCCACACACGUUCCUGAGCGCUGGCUCUGUGCCCGGCCUCACACUGACCCCUGACAACAUGCAGAUGAAGCUGUGGCCCUGCCCCAAGAACCUCCAUCCAGUCGGGGACAGAUGAGCAGAUCAGGGGUUACAGCCACUGUGCUGAGAGCCGAGACGGGGGUGCCGACAGCAUCCUCACCGCUGCCACCGUCCCAAAGGUGACAUGGGUGGGGAGCCAGCAUUUGAGCAAUUUCACCUUCUUUGUACAUUCAGAUAUAUUAUAUAGAAACCUAUAGAAUGCAUUAAAAUAUCUAGUUCGCA